CAUGCCCCGGUCUGCAGAGCGGCUGGGCCCGUGAGCCAUGGCCGCUGAGCCUGCGCGUCCGGAGCCUGUGCUCCGCAACGGGAGAGGCCACAACAGUGAGAGGCCCGUGUACCGCAAAAAAAAAAAAAAAAAAAAAAAAAAAAAUUAUAGUUGAGCUUCUUGUCUUAUGGCAACUAGGUAUACUUGCUAGUGCAACAGAGACAAAGUUAAUUUUCUAUUCCCGGGAGCCUGGUUUUUCUCUCUGGGGCUCAGGCCUCCAGGGCCUUUGUUCUUUAGCUUGCAAGGCCUGUUUUGCCCAAGGCCAUUCCCUAGUCCUUUUCCAAAAUGGCUGUGCUCUUUUCAUCCUGUCUUAGAUGGUGUGGAGUGUCCUUACUCCAGCUUGAGUGGAACCAGAGCCCAUUAUUAUUAUUUUUUAAUUAAUUUAUUUAUUUUUGGCUGCGUUGGGUCUUCAUUGCUGUGCGCGGGCUUUCUCUAGUUGCGGCGAGUGGGGGCUGCUCUUCCUUGCGGUGCGCGGGUUUCUCAUUGCAGUGGCUUCUCGUUGUGGAGCACGGGCUCUAGGCACGUGGGCUUCAGUAGUUGUGGCUCGCGGGCUCUAGAGCGCAGGCUCAGUAGUUGUGGCGCACGGACUUAUUAUUAUUAAAUGAGGCAUUUACUAUACUCCUUCCUAAGAGCACCAGGUGGGGAACACGUUUUCUAAACUAGAUCUAGGAAGGUGGAUUGAGUCCACAUCCCACUUCCUAGAUCUAGUUUAGAAAACGUGUUCCCCACCUGGUGCUCUUAGGAAGGAGUAUAGUAAACGCCUCAUUUAAUAAUAUACUCCUUUUUGAAAGUUGCCUUUUCUCUCCACCCUUGAGUAGGUCCAGUAUUUGGUGAAACUCAUGAGAGUGGGUGGAACCUGUCCUGCCCCUCCGCUUUUCUAGGACGCACUAUACAUGUGACCGGCUCUCAAGGAAAUUUGUUUGCCAUUUGCCGAUUUGUUUUGAAGUUAAUUUCUAACUUCUUUCACUGAUGCAUGAAGAAAAGUAUCGCGCCUUUUGAAAUACACCAAAUGGAUUGAGUACGUAAUGAAAAAACAAUUUUUCCCUGCCAGUCAUUGUCUUAAUAUGCUGAGCAUAGAUGUGCAGCUUAAGAGUGUAUGAUACAGCGUUCCUAGAACACAGCUGAAGACCUGGUAUAUAGAGGAAAUCCGAGGGGUGGUGCUAGAAGACAGAUGUCUAUGGGAUGAUUCACAUCCUCUUUCAAGUUAUGAGGGUAGAGACCUGCUUCAUUAAGAAGCUGGGGGGUGGGGUGGGGUAGGGUGGGGGUGGGGAGAACAUUUAACCACGUGGGGACCAGUCAGGGGAAUCCCCUUAUUUCUGUUUUGCAUAUGAGGAACCCUAGAGCAGCCAGGUGAGGCUCUCUAGUUUAAUAAGAAUCCUGGGGAGGGUCUUAUGAAGACUCUUCAUAAGCUGAUAAAAUCCCUGGUAACACUUUUCUUGGUUGCAGUUUCCAAGUCUUAAAAAUGUUAGGUAAUCUUCCCCACCUUCCCCAAAUCUGAAUUCUUCUAGAUGUCAUUAGUGUUGAACCAAUGCUUUCUAAUGUCUCAAUUCUUUGUAUAUGCAUUCUUUUCAGAUGUAUUAAAUAAACAAAC